UGCAAGUCGAACGGUGAAAGAGGAGCUUGCUCCUCUGGAUCAGUGGCGAACGGGCGAUUAACACGUGAGUAACCUGCCCUUGACUCUGGGAUAAGCACUGGAAACGGUGUCUAAUACCGGAUACGAGCUUCAGCCGCAUGGCUAGGAGCUGGAAAGAAUUUCGGUCAAGGAUGGACUCGCGGCCUAUCAGCUAGUUGGUGAGGUAAUGGCUCACCAAGGCGACGACGGGUAGCCGGCCUGAGAGGGUGACCGGCCACACUGGGACUGAGACACGGCCCAGACUCCUACGGGAGGCAGCAGUGGGGAAUAUUGCACAAUGGGCGCAAGCCUGAUGCAGCAACGCCGCGUGAGGGACGACGGCCUUCGGGUUGUAAACCUCUUUUAGUAGGGAAGAAGCGAAAGUGACGGUACCUGCAGAAAAAGCACCGGCUAACUACGUGCCAGCAGCCGCGGUAAUACGUAGGGUGCAAGCGUUAUCCGGAAUUAUUGGGCGUAAAGAGCUCGUAGGCGGUUUGUCGCGUCUGCUGUGAAAACUGGAGGCUCAACCUCCAGCCUGCAGUGGGUACGGGCAGACUAGAGUGCGGUAGGGGAGAUUGGAAUUCCUGGUGUAGCGGUGGAAUGCGCAGAUAUCAGGAGGAACACCGAUGGCGAAGGCAGAUCUCUGGGCCGUAACUGACGCUGAGGAGCGAAAGCAUGGGGAGCGAACAGGAUUAGAUACCCUGGUAGUCCAUGCCGUAAACGUUGGGAACUAGAUGUAGGGGCCAUUCCACGGCUUCUGUGUCGCAGCUAACGCAUUAAGUUCCCCGCCUGGGGAGUACGGCCGCAAGGCUAAAACUCAAAGGAAUUGACGGGGGCCCGCACAAGCGGCGGAGCAUGCGGAUUAAUUCGAUGCAACGCGAAGAACCUUACCAAGGCUUGACAUAUACCGGAAAAGUUCAGAAAUGUUCUCCCCGCAAGGCCGGUAUACAGGUGGUGCAUGGUUGUCGUCAGCUCGUGUCGUGAGAUGUUGGGGUUAAGUCCCGCAACGAG
rnacentral:rRNA from 1 species